AACGAACGCUGGCGGCAGGCUCAACACAUGCAAGUCGAGCGCCCCGCAAGGGGAGCGGCAGACGGGUGAGUAACGCGUGGGAACGUACCCUUUGCUACGGAAUAGCUCCGGGAAACUGGAAUUAAUACCGUAUGUGCCCUACGGGGGAAAGAUUUAUCGGCAAAGGAUCGGCCCGCGUUGGAUUAGCUAGUUGGUGGGGUAAUGGCCUACCAAGGCGACGAUCCAUAGCUGGUCUGAGAGGAUGAUCAGCCACAUUGGGACUGAGACACGGCCCAAACUCCUGCGGGAGGCAGCAGUGGGGAAUAUUGGACAAUGGGCGCAAGCCUGAUCCAGCCAUGCCGCGUGAGUGAUGAAGGCCUUAGGGUUGUAAAGCUCUUUCACCGGAGAAGAUAGUGACGGUAUCCGGAGAAGAAGCCCCGGCUAACUUCGUGCCAGCAGCCGCAGUAAUAC
rnacentral:rRNA from 1 species